rnacentral:rRNA from 1 species
GACAGAGGAUGCAAGCGUUAUCCGGAAUGAUUGGGCGUAAAGCGUCUGUAGGUGGCUUUUUAAGUCCGCCGUCAAAUCCCAGGGCUCAACUCUGGACAGGCGGUGGAAACGACCAAGCUGGAGUACGGUAGGGGCAGGAGGGAAUUUCCGGGUGGAGCGGUGAAAUGCGCAGAUAUCAGGAGGAACACCCGUGGCGAAGGCGGCUCUCUGGGACGGUACUGACGCUGAGACGCGAAAGCGUGGGGAGCGAACAGG